CAGGAAGUAGCUCAGUCCGCGCAGAGCACUCGCUUUGGGAGUGAGGGGCCGCAGGUUCGAAUCCUGUCUUCCUGACCA
rnacentral:tRNA from 1 species